GGGGCAAUCUGGUAGUGACAUCUGUCACCCCAUUGACUAAUGGACUGAUCUGGCUGGCUAAGCAGGUGUCCUCUUCCUUCCUCACCACUCCAUGUCCAUCCCACCUGGAGUUGUGGACUUGGUUGAAGAGGACCACCUUCCCCAAUAGAGGAGGGCCAGUCUUGGGUCAAGGGUAAACGAGUAGCUGCACUCCCCUGCUGGAACCUCCGAACAAGCUCUUUAGG
rnacentral:lncRNA from 1 species